ACUUGCACCCAGAGAAAGAGAGAGAGAGCCAGAGCUGUCGGUCUUUGCAGAUGGACAGGGGGAGCCAGGACACAGCUCAGCCUACUCAUGCCCAGAGAGAGAAAGAGUUCAGCUGCUGACCCUGAAGGCAAGGGAGAGCUGGCCACGCAGGUGUGUGUGGGAGCUGGCUGCUGAGAGGAGCCGCCGAGCUGGAGCAGGCAGCCAAAAUAAAGGUGAACAGUGUAAACGAGCUAGUGUAAGCUGCUGAUGAGAGAGCUGCUGAAUAAAAUUACAUUUCACCUGCCUACAGCACCCCGAGUGUUCUUUCAGCUAUCUGCUCAUCCAUCCCCUCUUUUCGGACCUCAGCUGGGACUGGACCCCAACCCUGAGCAUAACAACAAGUGAUACUUUUGUUAGGUCCAUUUUCACUUCAUCAGAAAUGUCCUGAGCUCUCCCUGGGCACUGUCCUGUGGCUGGUAAGAGGCAGAGGGCAGGAACCGUGUCAGUCUUGUUCCUUGUUGUAACCCAGUGCCGGGCACAUGUGGGCCAAAUAAUCAUGGCAACAGGACUUUUAGAAGCACGU
ensembl:lncRNA CFAP418-AS1 CFAP418 antisense RNA 1